GACAACCUCUUUGAACACUUCUCUGCUGUAGCUCAACGGCUUGGUGUAUACACUGCCAAGGACUAUGCAGAUAUUCUGGAAUUCCUGGUGGGGAGAUGGGAGGUGGAAAAAUUGACUGGUCUUUCCAGUGAAGGACGCAGAGCACAAGACUAUGUAUGUGGACUGGCUCCGCGGAUUAGAAAAUUGGAGGAGAGAGCACAGGCAAGGGCCAAGCAGCGAAGUCCCGUUCCUUUCAGCUGGAUUUUUGGUAAAGAGAUCAAGAUAUGAAUGCACUUGUGUUGGAGGGCAAUGUCAUAUUACUUUCUGAUCUUUAAAUUUGCCAUAGAUUUAUGAAGUCUGUGCAGGGUAGUUGAAGCUACUUCACUAGAGUAUUGGCUUUUCUUUUUUGCAAUUGUGUUUAGGCCAUAGGGAAAAACAUAGUUCUUAGCAAUAAAGAUGAACCUUUUGGUAUCCUCUUUUCUUUCUUUCUUUUCAAGUCAAAGG
rnacentral:misc_RNA from 1 species